AAGUGUGUUCUAGCCGCUGGAACAUAUAAUCAAAUUUGCUCUGCACGUGACAGAUGCCAACUUUCCUUUCCUGCACAUGAGUGAUUCUACAAGAUUAUGAAUCACAAAUAUAAAACAGCUUUUUUUCAGGGAAUAAUUAGAAUGGAUUCAUUUUUGUGACACAAUUCCCUUUGCCAGUUUGCUGAUAAUAAUAUACUCUAUCAGUCAAGUGAGACUAGAUGUUCUAUUUCCCAAAAGAAGUGAGCAUAGGGAUUUGGCAAGAACAGUGUCUGAUUUUUUUUUUUAAGGUAGAUCUACUGGGAGCUCUUUGGGUUUCAAAACAAAUCUCAUAUUGCAGCCAAUCAAAUCUGUAGUAUUCCUAAACCUGUUACUCUUAGGAGAUAUAAGGUUUUUUGUUGAUACUUGAUUUAAACUAAAAUUGCAUCUUCAUCAUUUGCGUAGGAGUAGUGAGAAUGCUUUUGAGUUUAGAAAUGAAAAAUUUUAGAAAUUCCCUUCGUGGCUCAGUGGUUAACAAACCCAACUAGGAUCUAUGAGGAUACAGGUUCAACCCCUGGCUUCACUCAUUGGGUUAAGGAUCUAGCAUUACGGUGAGCUGUGGUAUAGAUGCGGCUCAGAUCUGGUGUUUCUGUGGCAGUAGUAUAGGCCAGCAGCUACAACUCUGAUUUGACCCCUAGCCUGGGAGUCUCCAUAUGCAGAGGGUGCAGCCCUAAAAAGCAAAAAAAGAAAGAAAGAAGGAAAGAAAGAAAGAAAGAGAGAGAGAGAAAUGAAAAAUUCCAGGUGUGCGUAUCACCAUAUGUCAUGCAUUUGUCAAUGGCUUUGUCUCAUAUUCAUAUCUUAGCUCAACAAGAACUUCCCCUUCUAAAUUAGCCCUUCCCUAUCCAUCACAUACUACCAUGUCUUCCUACUGCCUUCUUAGCACUUAUUACUCUGAAAAUAUUUUGUUCAUCUGUUUCCUUGGUUACAGUCUAUCUCUCUCAACAGCCACACCCACACAUAACACUGUAAUGCAAGCUCCAUGAGGGAAGGAACGUUGAGUUUUGUGACUACGACAAACCCCAGUGCCCAACACUUAAUAGAUAUUUAAUAAGUGGGAGUGAAUGAAUGAAUAUGUAUAAAGUUUGUAGUGCCCAGAGCUUUCUGUUUAGAACUUGUAUGCCAAUACUUUAGUCUAAUGAUUUUUUAAACACAGAGGCAAUCAGUAAUAAUGAGGGAGAUUAAAGGACACAAAUUACAUGAAAUCUGAAAAGUCAAUACUAUUUUUCUCAGGGUAAUGUGGCAGGCAUGAUGACUACCUUUAAUGUCUUCUCUUUUUUUCAAAAUUAUACAAGAGCUAAGCACUGAGAGGUCCCUCUGUGACCUAAAGGGGAUUAAUCUAUGUUCCUGGAAGAGGUUUAAAUGCUACAGCGGGGGGUGGGGGUGGGGGGAAGAAACCUCAUCAUUUAGUAGAGGCUGAAAUCCUCCCUUAAGAACAUCCUUACUGUAGGCAUUUGGAGGUGGGUAAACCUUGAUUUUGCCCUGUUUACCAGAUGUGUACUUUAUAUAGAUGUAUAAUAAUCACAUAUAUAUGAUUAUUAUUUUAUAUGAAUAUAUAUUAUAUAUAUAAUCUUUCCAAUCACCUUCCUAUUUAUUUUCCCUGUAUCUCUCUAAAUUAAGUUAAUCUUUUUUUUUCCAGGUAAGAGAGACCCACAGAAGAGAAAAGCUGAACAGAGACUAACUAUGGCAGUAUGAAAUCUCAGUUCAGCACUGAGGUUUUAAAAACAAGAAUAAGGAAUCUGUGGUCGAGACUGCUUGUUGUCCCCUAUUGUUCAUUCUUCCUUUGUUCUAUUGGUAACAGAACCUGAUUUUAUAUAAGGCAACAUGGUGCCCAGCUAAAAGACUACAUUUUCAAGAACUCCUUUACUACUAUGAAUGGCCAAUGUAAGAAAAUUCCAGAUAAUGAAAUAUAUUAUAUAUAACUUCUAGGAAAGGAAAGUGACUGAACAGAAGCAUGUGACAUUUUUGCCCUUCUGCCUCUCCUCCCUUCCACAGCCUGGAACAGGCACGAUGGUUGGCGCUCCUGUUGACCUACUGGACCAUGAAGUAACACCUGGAGAAUAGAAGCCUUGAACUAGAACAGGGGAACAAAAAGGCAAGAAGAGUUUGGAUUCCUGAUGAGUAUGGAGCUGCCAUGUGAGUACUUGACUACCAACCACCAGAUUUCUAUGACUUUAAUUUCAAUUAUUCUCUUGUUUAAGCCACCAUUACAUAGUGUUUUCUGUUAGCUGCAAUCUAAAUGUAUACGUAUCUAAUUCAAAGUGUUGUUAGACAUUCUGAGUUCCCAUGUGCCUUCCCUAUAUGCUAAAGCAUUUGGAACUUCUGGCCAGUGUUGACUUGGAGGAGCCUACUUGGAGCAAUUUUGCAGCCCUUACACGUCUUCUUUUCCUGAAGACACUUCCUUUAAGUCCUCUUUCUCAGGAUUCUGUUGUGCCUUCUUUUCUGGCAUAUUUCCCCUCCCAUUGCUAGAAUACAUUAGUUUCCUCCAAUCCAAAUAUUCUCCACAUUCUGAAAAAUACCAGCAUCUUUUUUUAUGGUAUUCUCAUUGUAUUUCAUGUACAGUUUUGAUAACCAAUAACUAUCUUUGGCCGUCUUCCACAAUUCUAUUCUCAUAGCUUCUUUUAGACCUAGUAUUUACAAUGCUUCU
ensembl:lncRNA